CAGUAGCCGCGGGAACACGAAGGGGGCUAGCGUUGUUCGGAUUUACUGGGCGUAAAGCGCACGUAGGCGGACUUUUAAGUCAGGGGUGAAAUCCCGGGGCUCAACCCCGGAACUGCCUUUGAUACUGGAAGUCUUGAGUAUGGUAGAGGUGAGUGGAAUUCCGAGUGUAGAGGUGAAAUUCGUAGAUAUUCGGAGGAACACCAGUGGCGAAGGCGGCUCACUGGACCAUUACUGACGCUGAGGUGCGAAAGCGUGGGGAGCAAACAGGAUUAGAUACCCCCGUAGUCCCUGUCUCUUAUAC
rnacentral:rRNA from 1 species